GGAAGAGGGAGAACGAGGAGCGGUGGGAGGAUGGAAUUAGUGUAAGAAGAAGAAAGGAAAACGUGGUUGAGAGUAGAGGUAUGCUGGGAAAUUAGAGAGUAGGAAAGGGAGACCUGUGGAGUGUGCAUGGUGGGAAUUACAUAUAGGUUGCCGUAAAUUAGUGGUUGGCAAGGGAAAUUUACGGUUGUGUGUUUGUAAAUUGUUACUGAGUACCCUAUAGGGGGACGCCGACAUUGGUGGUCACGAAUAGAGAGAGUAGGUUGGCCACCAAUAAGGUGUUAGUCAAGAGAUCCCGACGGACAGGGGGCUCGGUCACCUAUAUUGGUGACGGG
rnacentral:lncRNA from 1 species